GAAUCCCGUCUUUGGCACGGAAACCCCAGGGCUUUUGUGAUGCGCUCUCGAAGAGUCGAGUUGUUUGGGAAUGCAGCUCAAAAUGGGUGGUGAACUCCAUCUAAAGCUAAAUAUUGGCGAGAGACCGAUAGCGAACAAGUACCGUGAGGGAAAGAUGAAAAGCACUUUGGAAAGAGAGUGAAACAGUACGUGAAAUUGUUGAAAGGGAAACGCUUGAAGUCAGUCGCGUCGACCGAGACUCAGCCUUGCCCUUGGCUUGGUGUACUUCUCGGCUGACGGGUCAGCAUCAAUUUUGCCCCUUGGAUAAUGGCGAGGGAAAUGUGACACCUUUACGGUGUGUUAUAGUCUCUUGUCGCAUGCAAGGGUUGGGAUUGAGGAACUCAGCACGCACCUUUGGGUGUCGGGGCUUUGCCCACGAUACGUGCUUAGGAUGUUGGCGUAAUGGCUUUAAACGACCCGUCUUGAAACACGGACCAAGGAGUCUAACAUGCCUGCGAGUGUUCGGGUGGAAAACUCGUGCGCGCAAUGGAAGUGAAAGUUGGGACCUCUGUCGUGGAGGGCACCGACGCCCGGACCAGACCUUCUGUGACGGCUCUGCGGUAAAGCAUGUAUGUUAGGACCCGAAAGAUGGUGAACUAUGCCUGAAUAGGGUGAAGCCAGAGGAAACUCUGGUGGAGGCUCGUAGCGAUUCUGACGUGCAAAUCGAUCGUCAAAUUUGGGUAUAGGGGCGAAAGACUAAUCGAACCAUCUAGUAGCUGGUUCCUGCC
rnacentral:rRNA from 1 species